CAUAAAUCUCUCAUCAUCCCUAUCCAGAAAGGGAUGAUUUUUAUAAGCAUGCAAAACAUCUUGUAAACUAAAUUAUUUGCAAUUCAAAUGAUUCAAAACACAGACGAAUGUCUUGAAUGCAGGUCAAUAAAGAAAGAUGCUACUUGCAGCUAAACUAAGUGUAGUUCUGAAGUCUACAGCAAAAGAGGGUGCUCUGAUAAAAAUCACACUUUAAUCUUACUCCAUAUAUGCAUACACACAUCAGUGGUUCACAGACAUGCUGAAAUAAUGUAUGUCCAACUACAUCACACUGAUUAGCAUCAGACUGCUCAGACAAAAAUAGUCUAACAAGAUGCUGUGACAGGAAACGCAAACCAGAUAUCUGCGAAAGGGCUUCAAGUGUUAAACCAGGAAGCAGAUGCUGUUCCAGUACAUGCAUGAGGUCUUCUAUGAUUUAAACAUUUAGACAUUGUAUAUUGUUUUGACAUUAGAUAUCGUAUAUUUCUCAAGAACUAAAAAAACUGUGCAUAUUAAUCAGAAUCUUCAUGGCAGUUAACUUGAACCUGAACCAGGAAGCACUAAUAUAAAGCGGAAUUUAACAGGUUUAUUCAAAGAUGAAGUUAAUCUGUGUUCUUUGGAUCUGGAUUGGUCUGUCAGCUACUGAUGGGAGUAGUCUACAUGGAGAUGCAGGGAACUACAUCAAUAUUUCUUGUUCCCAUAGCUGGGCUUCAAACAACAAAAAGUUUUUCUGCAGAGAUCCAUGUAAUGACAAGAAUGAUAUUUUAGUAAACUCUGACAAGUCAUCUAAAGGAAGAUACACACUGAAUGACUUUGGAAAAGGAGUCUUUAUUGUGACCAUCACUGAUCUGAAAGAGUCUGACUCUGGGGUUUACUGGUGUGGAGUGGAGAGAUCAAUUAAAAACACAUUUGUUGAAGUCAAACUGGCAGUAUAUAAAGGUAAGGAUGAUGCUUAGUAUUAGCAGUGCAAAUACUCAUUUGCAUAUCAAAUACUCUCUAUAUGUUAAUUAUUAUUUGUUUAGGCAAAACUUUAAAACAACCCAAAAUUCCAAAAACAGUGACAGAUCCUCAAUCCUCAACAAAAAGUGUAAUCUCUUCAUCUUCAACACUUGAUGACUUCUCCAGUUCUUCUACAGCAGAAUUUAAAUAUCCUGCGUUUUCAUCCAGACCAGCUUUUUAUGAGAAUACUAAACAAUUAG